GGAAGGAUAGAAUGGUCUUUUGCCACUUUACAACUCUUUAAAGCCCAUUGUACAAACCUCUUAAGCACAAGUGUUGAAAACUUGUUUUCAACACCUGAUGAUACCACGCGGAUCUACUUGACCCGGUUUUUGUUUGAUGGAUCCAAUAUAUUCGUAUUAUCACAGUUUACAACCACAAUUUCAUCCGCCGCUCCACAUUUCUUUCACUUUCUAAACCCUAGAUCCUCCACCGCAUAACUGAAGCACCUCCACCGCAUAACUGAAGCACCUCCACCGCACCUCCACCGCACCUCCACCGCUCAUCCAUGGAACCUGUCUUUGCCAUCACCGUCUUCUCCCCUUUCAUCCAUGGAACAGGUCAUGUUUUUAACCCUAUUUUGUACGUUUUUUUUUUAAUCUUUGUCAGAUCUGUGAUAAUACUUUUAGAUCUGUUUUAAUACUUUUAGAUUUGUGAUAAUACUUUUAGAUCUGUGAUAAUACUUUUAGAUCUGUGAUAAUACUUUUAGAUCUGUGUUGGUUUUGUGAUUAUUUUAAUGUUCUGUGAACACCGUCUUCUCCCCUUUCAUCCAUGGAACAGGUCAUGUUUUUAACCCUAUUUUGUACGUUUUUUUUAAUCUUUGUCAGAUCUGUGAUAAUACUUUUAGAUCUGUUUUAAUACUUUUAGAUUUGUGAUAAUACUUUUAGAUCUGUGAUAAUACUUUUAGAUCUGUGAUAAUACUUUUAGAUCUGUGUUGGUUUUGUGAUUAUUUUAAUGUUCUGUGAAUGGAUCAACAUUAGGGCUUUUUGUUUGAUAAUUAGGGCUUUGUCAGAUCUGUGAAUGGACCAAUUUUAAUUUCUUGCAUUAGGGCUUUGUCAGAUCUGUGAUAAUACUUUUAGAUCUGUUUUAAUACUUUUAGAUCUGUGAUAAUACUUUUAGAUCUGUGAAUCUGUGAUAAUUCUUUUAGAUCUAUGAUAAUACUUUUAGAUGUGUGAUAAUACUUUUAGAUCUGUGUUGGUUUUGUGAUUAUUUUAAUGUUCUGUGAGAUUUAUAGAGAAAACGUAAUUUCUGUUUCAUAAUUAGGGCUUUUUGUUUGAUCUAAUCGGUUACUGAAUUAUGGUUUUGUUUGUAAGGAGAAUCCGAUUGCAAGCUCACCGGCGAAGGAAGCAUACAGGAAUCGGCUGGCGGACAGCCUCAACAUGGGAGUUAUGGAUUGGUUUGAUCCAAUUGCUGAUUCGACUACUAGCCAUCUCGAUCUGAUUCCCCACAUGGUUUAGGGGAGAAGUUUAAAACAACAGGACUAUGGAAGGAUAUACGGUGCUACAUUGACAGUCAAGU